rnacentral:snoRNA from 1 species
AUCCUCUCAGGAUCGCACCUGGAGAGUUUCCAGUACUCUACCAGUCUUGACUACGGGACAGAGAGUCAAGCAGAGGCCUACCCAUUCCAUUCCUAGCUUGGGCAGUGGCUAGCGAGUGGAAGGCCCUCUGCUACAUGU